AUGUCGAGGGUGGUGGCGAUGCUGGCGGGCGACGUCGAGGCGCCCGACUGGGUGCCGAAGCCCAGCUACAUCACGGAAUGGCAGAUCAAGGGUGGCGGCGACACCAGCUACAUGAGCUCCGAGGUCAACGGGCAGUCAAGCUCGGUGCCGGCGCCAUUCCUAGGCUCUGUCAUCGACCAAGGCCGUUGA
rnacentral:rRNA from 1 species